rnacentral:tRNA from 1 species
CUGUGGUGUAGUGGUUAUCACAUCUGCUUUACAUGCAGAGGGUCGCCGGUUCGAUCCCGGCCAGA